GCAUUUGCGGUGUAGCGGUCAGCACGCUCGACGUGUAACCGAGAGGUCCGUGGUUCGAUUCCCGGCGAGGACA
rnacentral:tRNA from 1 species